GUGAAUUCUGACCUCAGGCAGAUGGGCCACCAGAAUGCAGGUGCCUGUCACAGAGCCAUGGAAUGGCUUGGGUUGGAAAGGGCCCUACAGCUCGUCCCAUUCCACCUCUGCCAUGGCCAGGGACACCUUCCACCAGACCAGGUUGCUCCAAACCUCAUCCAACCUGGCCUUGGACACUUCCAGGGGUGGGGCAGCCACAACCUGGGAUUGUGUGGUGAUAAAAGUGUACCAUGAACUCCAGUGAAGGGAGAGCCAAAGGUUCUCCCUGCAGAGAGCUUGUGGUGUAUUAGAAUUUUCUCCCUCAUUGCUACAGUGACGUGGAAAAAUAAAGACCCUGUGUGAAGAAACUUUGUAUCCUGGUGUUUUCAUCUUCUGCCUGGCACAUAUGGUAGACUGUGUUCUGUGAAACUGCCCAUUGUUUUUGACAUCCCUCUGUAAAUCCCAAAUCCUGCACUAUCCUGAGUUUUAUCAGCUAUGGAGAAGAGCUGGGAAAAUGAUUUCUGUCAGCAGCUGAGGAGAAACUGCAGGAGGAAUAGCAACAAAGACAAGGGAUUGGAACAAGCCUGGAUUAGUGAUUUAAAUGGUGACAAGGUCUAGGCACAGAACUCAAUUUUCUACAUAUCUGCCACAAUCACCUUUAUAUUUCUAUACUUUGGUAAUCAAUUCCUUUGGGAGCCCUCGAGAAGUCACAGCAAUGUAUCUGUGAGGCUGGAAGGUCUAAUACUGCUCUUGGACAGAUUAAAGCAUCCAACCAGGAAUCAAGAAACCAGAUUACACUGGCACUUGCUUGGUCUGAGCCGCACCAGAAUGGUGAAUUCCUUACUCACAUCUUCAUCAAGGAGGGAAAAAAAAAUCAGGAAACACGUCACUUGAAAACCUGAACAGCGUCCAGAGAUGUGCAAUGACUUAAGAGAAUUAGAAAACAUCCUUGACAGUGAUGAACUCCCAGAGUCCUGUUUAUCUUUUCUUGAGGGAUGACCGCAGCCUGCAGCACUAAGUCUGGAUAACAAAACCUGGAUAAAAGCAAUCUCUUCAUUCCAGGGAAGAUAAGCUAAGCUGUGACGGGUGGGAGCCAAAGCCAACCUAAAAAUAAGCUGCAUAUUUUUAACAGUAAUCAAGCACUGAAUAAUCCACUAAAGCCUGUGGAGGAUCUUCUUUCACUGCAUGUUUUCAGACAAAAAAGAGAUUGCUUUUCCAGGAGAUGCACACUGCAGCACAAACCUGCCUUCCCAAUCCCUGUAUUUCCACGGAGAUGGCCACACAGGGCUUUAUCAGUUUCAAGAUACGGCAGAUUUUGUUACACGGGGAAAAAUGCAUCUAUUCAAACCACAAAGACUAGGAAAUUUAACUCUGAUGGAUUAUAUAUAGGAAAUGUCAGGUCCUGGAAAAAAAAAAUUGUGUGUAUUUUGAGCAAGUUCCUAGGACUGGAUGAGUAGGAAUUUGCGCAAAGCCCUGGCUGAAAGGAGAGAGGUAAGCCCACGUCCCUUUUCUUCCUGCUCUCUCUCUCUCUCUCCUCUCUUUUUCCUUCUUCACGGAAAAUUUUUAGCAUCUGCCAUAAAAUUGCUGUGCUGGGAAUACUGUGAUAAUUACAUGGGAAUGCAAGCACCGUGUAGGUGCCAUAAUCCAGGCUUUUUUUCCUGAUAUAUUUCUUAAUUCAGUGUGUUAGUACAUGGAAAGUCUAUGUUUAAGUGUAAAGCAUAAUACACCAUAAAUAAAAAAAUAAUCACAUCCUACUGCUUGCUUGGAGAGGUAAAAAAAUAAGAAAACUUUAAAUAAAGUUAGAGUGUAAUAUUCAGAGUCUCUCACCCAGACCUCACCCUCUGCAACAAGAGGAGGGGAUAGCCCACACUUUCCUGAAAUAUAAGCAGGAUUUAUCUAAUUUAAACAGUCUUCUGUUUCCAUGGAGCCAACAAGCACUAAACCCUUGUGAAAAUCAGUUUUUAUUUGUUAAGUGGCACGGUGGCUUAUUACCAUUUAAUACUUGGGAUUCAGUGACAAGUCAGGGACAGGGCGCGUGAAGUGCCACGCAAACAGGGAACGCCAGGCUGAUUCCUGCCCCCAAGAGCUGUAAUUUUCCAGCAUCAGCAAUCCUGCUGUCACUGCUCUGGAUCCCAAUCCUCUGCUGUUUUCAGAACAAAGCAGCUCGACUGGGUGAUGGGUGACGAAGCAAUUUUUCCUGGAGGAAUUAAUGCAGUGGGAAGGGCACCCCAUGAUUUAAGGAAUACAGAGAGUAUUGACACCCGAGGACAGCACGUUCAGCCAGGAUCACUGGAGGGGAGGCAAGGCUGGCUUUGCAGCAGCUGGAAUUUUGGAGCACAUCAGGGCUCUGGAACACCUCGGCCAGUUCACCCGUGAGGCUGAGCAGCCAAACACGAGCCUGGUUUUCUGCCCCUCACCCCUGACUGCCCUCAGUUCACACAGCAAAGAUGGCAAUGAAGACAAAACUGGUCACUAAGAGGCAAAAUAAAUUCAAGCUUGCAGGUGGAGCCAUGAAUUCUGAGGGGAAAAUUCCAUUGCCAUCCUUGUGACACCGUGCAGUGCAUUUUUUAGGAACACGCUGGCAGAGGGGUGUGGUGAAAAUGAAGAGAUGGGCAGUGUAAAACCAGUGGAUGUCGUCAUCUUUAGUGGUUUCUUACAAAGAAAGAGCUGGGAAUUGACACCGUGACCAUAAUGAGAGAGUAACUAAUUAGGCAAACACAUUUCAAAUGAAAUUCACACUUUGUUAUUGAGCGUUUCUGGCUCUUACUGACUAGAACUCUCAAAACAUCACUGAUAUUUAUCACAAACAUCUCUAUACUCACUCAUUAUUCAAUGGAUUUUCUCCAGGUUAUUACAAGGUUUUUUUUGAGGUCACCUGAGAUCCUCUCCAGUCCUGACCUCAGUAAUUCUACUUACCAUUAAUCAGAAAUUUUGUUCAUGUAAAAAAAAUUGAAAAAUUUGCUGCAAUCUUGGGACUACCUGUGCUCAAAGAGAAUUUCGUUCACCUUUCAAACACAAAACAAGGAACCUAAAAGCUGAGGUGGGAGUUUUGUUUCUCCUGUUUCUAUCUGAAUUUUUAAUUUUGAAGAAAACCUGACCCCUAAAACAUGAUUUUCCCACUCCUCUACAUUGUUUCAAGAGCACCUGGGAAUUCUCAAUAUUGCUGUAAAUAUCCAACACCUUUAUAUAUAUUAAUUAAAUCCCAGGCCUCAGGAGUAUCCAUGCAAAACCCAGCUUGAUUACAAACUGAAUGGAACUGCUUCUGUCAUAAACAAUUUUUUGAGAGAAUUAUCUGACCUUCCUCUCAGACUAGGCACUAGUCUUUUUUUUUUUAAAUCUUCUCUCUAUUCAGCCAACAACUCAAUUUUUUCAAACUCCACCCAGAUAAAUUUUGCAAUCAAUUGCAAAAUUGCAAAAUUUUGCAAUCCUGUUUCCUCUAUAGUCCAGUGGAGGUGUCCCUAUCCAUGGCACAGGGGUGGAAUGAAAUAAACUUUAAGGUCCUUUUCAACCCAAAUCAUUCCAGGAUUUUAUGAAUUUGGGCUGUAUUACCCCCAAAACCACAGAGUAUUUUCCACAGGCACUUACACUUGGAUCACUUUUUAUGUGUUUUUAUUGCAAACAUAGGUGCAGAAAAUUCUCCUGGGAGAUUUAUGUUUUCUGAAAUAUAGUCAGUGAAAAAUUACUCCGCAAAACUGGGAUGGUACAGUACAUUGGCUAAGCACAACACAGGAGACUGCUGUCAAAAUUAACAGCCAGAAAAAACAUGAAAAACAAUUAAAUAUAUACAUAUUAUUGGGGGAUAGAACAAAAUAAAUGCCUCUUCCAACCCAAACCACUCUGGUAAUUGUACAAAUAAAACACAUUACUGCAUGAAA